AUUUACGAAUUAUUAAUAUGAAAUACUUUAAGGUUUUUAAAAAGAUCUUGGCAUAUAUUUGAUUCAGUAAAUGAACGACGAUAAAUAAACCAACUUCUUUUUAAAGUUAGAUCGGUUCGUGAACGAGUUGCUACAAGACAGGUCAACAUUUGUGACUACAAUGGCCAGCGGUAAACAUCCUAGGU